rnacentral:rRNA from 1 species
AGUGAACGCUGGCGGUAGGCCUAACACAUGCAAGUCGAACGGCAGCACAGUAAGAGCUUGCUCUUACGGGUGGCGAGUGGCGGACGGGUGAGGAAUACAUCGGAAUCUACUUUUUCGUGGGGGAUAACGUAGGGAAACUUACGCUAAUACCGCAUACGACCUACGGUUGAAAGCAGGGGAUCUUCGGACCUUGCGCGAUUGAAUGAGCCGAUGUCGGAUUAGCUAGUUGGCGGGGUAAAGGCCCACCAAGGCGACGAUCCGUAGCUGGUCUGAGAGGAUGAUCAGCCACACUGGAACUGAGACACGGUCCAGACUCCUACGGGAGGCAGCAGUGGGGAAUAUUGGACGAUGGGCGCAAGCCUGAUCCAGCCAUACCGCGUGGGUGAAGAAGGACUUCGGGUUGUAAAGCCCUUUUGUUGGGAAAGAAAAGCAGCAGGUUAAUACCCCGCUGUUCUGACGGUACCCAAAGAAUAAGCACCGGCUAACUUCGUG